ACUCUAGAAAGGUCCGUGCCCUAAGAACACCUAUAUAAGCACUGGACUUUGUCCAAUUAGCAAGUGCUCUCUGCACCCUCCUGAAUUAGCACCAUAGGCACUAAUAUUCCAGGAUGCAUUCUUCCAUACUGUGGACACGCCAAUGAAUGCCUUUCAUGAGCUCUGCUGUCAUGUUCUUCUCUCAUUGGAAGAAGACAAGAAGCAAUGAAGACAAGAAAGGAAGAGAAGGAGUAAGCUUGAGGCUCCUGAGCUCCUGAGCUCAGCUGGGGACAUCCUUCCCUGGGGCUGGGAAGCCUCCAAUGAGGAAGGAGACUUCCUCUCAAAGAUGUGUGGUUCCUGGGCUCCUGUGUCUCCAGAAACCCUUCCCUUGGGACACUGUCACACCUCAGAGCUGGAUGGUUCCUGACUUCCAAGGCCCUGAACACCUUCUCAUCCAAGCACAAAGGCCAACAACCAGGGCCACUGGCCCUACGAGAUCCAGAUAUCAUCUGGUAAAGUCUGAGAACCAACUCCCAGAGAUGGGUCAUGCAGAAGUUAAUCCUGAAGCUCCAUCUUCCUCAACACUGGCAGAUAAAAGCCACCCAGGAGCCUCCACAGGAGCGCCUGUCUCAUCAAUGGGUCCAGCCAUAUUCCAGAUUUGGAAGGACCUUUGCAAGGAUCUGACAAACAUUGCAGGAAGAUCUCUGAGAGAUCUGUACAGGAUCCCAGAGGGUUCCCUGGGCAAAGAUCUAGAGGCUGUCUCCGAGACACGGGUGGACAGUUGCUAUGUCAGACAGCCAAGAAGUGACUCACCAAGUCCCCAGCUAGUCUCCCCAGGAAAACAGCAGCUAGAGGGUAUACUGAAAACCACUCAAGCAGCAAGUGGAGCCAUUACAAUGCCAUUAAGGUGCCUGUGGGCACUUGUCAAGGAAUUGCUGUGGACCACACAGUGGUCCUUCCUGAAAACUCAGAGACAAGUUCUGAAAACCCAGAGACAAAUAUGGAAGCUCAGAAGCAGUGAUCCUUGAAUGAUGGGGCCACCUGCAAGAAUAUUUCCCAAUGGGCCUUCAUUCCUACAAGAAGAUGCCUUUUGGGUGAGGCAAAAAGAUGGAGCUUGCUUCUCAGAGACCUCAAAAUUCUACAUCUUUCCAACACAAACAGGUCUGUAGCUUUGCCAUUUCCCACAGCCUCUGACUCCCUCUCCGACCUGCUGGGAUUCUAGAGAUGAUUUCCUAGGAGAGCUUUUUCAGAAAAGUUCAGAAGAGGAAGUGAGGACAAAAAUGGCUUCUAGUAUAUGCAGACUGCUCCCUCUACCCGCCAGCUCAAAUUCCUGAGAGGGAGUCCAUCUAAUGACAACAAUUGGCCAUCUGAGGCACCCAACGUGUUUAGAAGGACAAUGUGACUUCCCUAUGCACCACACACUGCAUUGUGGGCAGAGACUGGCCCAGUGAUAAGGCUCUUGGAUCUUGGACAGGCAACCCAGAGCCAGGUUCAAACCUAGUCAAGGAUAGGUAUGAGCCCCAGGAGAGUAAGGGUGUGGCCUUUGGAGAUCUCUACCACGGGCUGUCAGUUUGGGAGAUCAGUGUGGCACUCCAGUUACCAAGUACUAGAGGUAUGGGGACUGGAGGAGGCAGAGGAGGAGCAGGAGCCCUGUGACUAGGCACUCAACAUGGAAGCCAGGGAGAUGGCAAGCUCUCAAACUUAACAAGGGGCAGCUGAGCGAUUUAGAAUCACUGCAGACCAGCAAAAGAUAUUCUCCUUCCACGACUAUUUUCCAGGAUCCAGAAGACUUAUGCCUGAACACAGCUCACUGUGACUCGGCUACCGAUGUCAGUGGUAGGACUGUACCACUGGCAUGUUCUUUCAAGACGGUGCCUCCAAGGUCCUGCUGGCUGCAGAUAUCCCUGCCUCCAGGUCCUCAGGAUCUAGCUUCAAGACUGUAUUCUCUACCAGAAAAUUAUCUUUCCAAGACAGGUGUUCUUUCUUGUCAAGAGCAGGGAAUGUUGACAAGACUCCCAGACCCCAGGAGCCUUUGACUUUCCAUUUCCACACAUUGGACUGUCCAUGUCCCAGGCAGGACAUAUUUUCCUGACAGAGAUGAGACCUGCCCAAGCCUACAGGUCCCAGUACUCAUGAAAGCUUCUCUUCCCUACUU
ensembl:lincRNA AY702103 cDNA sequence AY702103